rnacentral:misc_RNA from 1 species
AAGUCGUAACAAGGUUUCCGUAGGUGAACCUGCGGAAGGAUCAUUAAUGAUGUUUAAAGCAAGCCAAGCUUUUUUUAAAAAAGUAAGGUUUUGCGAAUAUAUAUUUAAAACCCCCCACUCUUAAAAAAAAAUUUUCAUUCAUAUAUAUGAUUAUGAAUAAAAAAAAGAUCACUUUCAACAACGGAUCUCUUGGCUCUC